CAUUGGGCGUAAAGGGUCCGCAGGUGGCGAAUAAAGUCUGCUGUUAAAGACCGGGGCUUAACUCCGGAAAGGCAGUGGAAACUGAUUAGCUAGAGUACGGUAGGGGUAGAGGGAAUUCUCAGUGUAGCGGUGAAAUGCGUAGAUAUUGGGAAGAACACCGGUGGCGAAAGCGCUCUACUAGGCCGAAACUGACACUGAGGGACGAAAGCUAGGGUAGCGAAAGGGAUUAGAUACCCCUGUAGUCUUAGCAGUAAACGAUGGAUACUAGGUGUAGCUUGUAUCGACCCGAGCUGUGCCGAAGCUAACGCGAUAAGUAUCCCGCCUGGGGAGUACGCACGCAAGUGUGAAACUCAAAGGAAUUGACGGGGGCCCGCACAAGCGGUGGAGUAUGUGGUUUAAUUCGAUGCAACGCGAAGAACCUUACCAGGGCUUGACAUGUCGCGAAUCUAGCGGAAACGUUAGUGUGCCUUAGGGAAUGCGAACACAGGUGGUGCAUGGCUGUCGUCAGCUCGUGUCGCGAGAUGUUGGGUUAAGUCCCGCAACGAGCGCAACCCUCGUCCUUAGUUGCCAAUAUUAAGUUAGGCACUCUAGGGAGACUGCCGGGGACAACUCGGAGGAAGGUGGGGAUGACGUCAAGUCAGCAUGCCCCUUAUGUCCUGGGCGACACACGUACUACAAUGGUUGGGACAAAGGGCAGCAAGCUCGCGAGAGUAAGCGAAUCUCAUCAAACCCAGCCACAGUUCAGAUUGCAGGCUGCAACUCGCCUGCAUGAAGUAGGAAUCGCUAGUAAUCGCAGGUCAGCAUACUGCGGUGAAUUCGUUCCCGGGCCUUGUACACACCGCCCGUCACACCAUGGAAGCUGGCUACGCCCGAAGUCGUUACCCUAACCCGGUUUUGGGAGGGGGAUGCCGAAGGUAGAGCUAGUGACUGGGGUGAAGUCGUAACAAGGUAGCCGUACCGGAAGGUGUGGCUGGAUCACCUCCUUU
rnacentral:rRNA from 1 species